CCCUUAGAUGUUCUGGGCCGCACGCGCGCUACACUGACGAAUGCAACGAGCUUAUAACCUUGGCCGAAAGGUCUGGGUAAUCUCCAAAUUUCGUCGUGAUGGGGAUAGAUUAUUGCAAUUAUUAAUCUUCAACGAGGAAUGCCUAGUAAGCGCAAGUCAUCAGCUUGCGUUGAUUACGUCCCUGCCCUUUGUACACACCGCCCGUCGCUACUACCGAUUGAAUGGUUUAGUGAGGCCUCGGGACUUGCGCUGGCGAGCUGGCGACAGCCUGCCUGUGCGGGGAACUUGUCCAAACUUGAUCAUUUAGAGGAAGUAAAAGUCGUAACA
rnacentral:rRNA from 1 species